GCCAGCCCGCUCAGAACUCAAAGGAAUUGACGGGGCCGCACAAGCGGUGAGCAUGUGGUUUAAUUCGAUGAUACGCGAGGAACCUUACCUGGGCUCAAAUGUAUGUUGACGUAUUCUGAAAGGGAUACUUCUUCGGACAAUAUACAAGGUGCUGCAUGGUUGUCGUCAGCUCGUGCCGUGAGGUGUCGGGUUAAGUCCCAUAACGAGCGCAACCCCUAUCAUUAGUUGCCAUCAGGUCAAGCUGGGGACUCUAAUGAAACUGCCUACGCAAGUAGUGAGGAAGGUGGGGAUGACGUCAAAUCAGCACGGCCCUUACGUCCAGGGCUACACACGUGCUACAAUGGCCGGUACAAAGGGCAGCCAAGCCGCGAGGUGGAGCUAAUCCCAUAAAACCGAUCGUAGUCCGGAUCGCAGUCUGCAACUCGACUGCGUGAAGUCGGAAUCGCUAGUAAUCGUGAAUCAGAAUGUCACGGUGAAUACGUUCCCGGGCCUU
rnacentral:rRNA from 1 species